CGGGGCUUAAAGUCUUGUAAUUGGAAUGAUGGGAAUUUAAACCUCUUCCAGAGUAUCAAUUGGAGGGCAAGUCUGGUGCCAGCAGCCGCGGUAAUUCCAGCUCCAAUAGCGUAUAUUAAAAUUGUUGCAGUUAAAAAGCUCGUAGUUGAAUUUCUGCUGCAUUGCUUGUGUCCCUCUGGGGUCUGUGCAUGUGGCUUUUUUCGGACGCAGUUUCUUUGUCUGAAUGUUUACUUUGAGAAAAUUAGAGUGCUCAAAGCAGGCUUUCGCCUUGAAUAGUUUAGCAUGGAAUAAUAAAGUAGGACUUUGGUUCUAUUUUGUUGGUUUUAGGUACCAAAGUAAUGGUUAAUAGGAACAGUUGGGGGCAUUCGUAUUUAACUGUCAGAGGUGAAAUUCUUAGAUUUGUUAAAGACGAACUACUGCGAAAGCAUUUGCCAAGGAUGUUUUCAUUAAUCAAGAAC
rnacentral:rRNA from 1 species